GACGAACCGUGCGAACGUUAUUCGGAAUCACUGGGCUUAAAGCGCGUGUAGGCGGGAGGGCACGUCCGUCGCUGAAAUCCCCCGGCUCAACCGGGGAACGGGCACGGAUAAGACCUUCCUGGAGGGGCGUAGGGGGACCUGGAACUUCCGGUGGAGCGGUGAAAUGCGUUGAGAUCGGAAGGAACGCCCGUGGCGAAAGCGAGGUCCUGGACGCCUACUGACGCUGAGACGCGAAAGCCAGGGGAGCGAACGGG
rnacentral:rRNA from 1 species